CCUGUCUGCAUGCGUGGUGCUGCAGUCUUCAAGUUAUGACCUUCUACCGUAUUCAUCAUUUCAGGUGAAAUGCUGCCUGGCUGCUGAAAAAAUGGCAUUCCCUCAGGCUGCGGUGUGCACAUCUAUCUAUCCAAGAUGCAGUUACAGGGGAGUCUGUAGUCUGGGGAGCAGCGCUGAGGAGAAAGUCCCAGGAGAAUGUUCUUUGUUCCUUGAAUGACACUGCCCUGUACACAGGUGUGUGCCAAGUACAUGCCUUACCAGCAGCCCAGCUUCCUAUACCCCCAUGUGGUUUUGCUUAUAUUUUUUUCAAUUAUAUAGUGUUUAGAUAGGUUAAGACCUCAGCUUGCCAGCACAUAGCUAUUGUCUGCAUGGGCAUGUCCUCAAGAAACAAUGCAGAGAGCCCAUUAUGGUUUGGGAUAGACCUGAGCUGUGUAAUUGAGAUCCACCCUUAAGCCUCAAGAUGUUCAGCUCUAACGCUUAAACCCAGCAGACUCCUCUCUUGCAGAUAAAAGCAAAAAACCACCAGACCCAGCAUUUCCAGAGCUCAACUUUUCCCAGUUUUGAGACUGAGGAGUUUAUUUUGGCUUGAUGGCUCAGUGUCAGAGUUCAGAUCCCAUUCUGUGUGUCCAGGAGGAGGGCUGGAUGUUCCAAGCCUGGCCUGUAGUUACAAUGAAAGUACUUAGUGAGUUUAGCAAAUACCUGCAAAAAUUCAUUGCAAGUCAGGUCAUUAAAAGUCUUUCUUUGUGCCAGCACAGCAAUAUCGUUAAGGAACCCUUUUUUUAUUGUUUGUUUUGGCAGAUAAGUUGAAAUUUCCAUAAUGGCAAAAACGUUCGUGCAAAUGCCAUUGAAUCCACUUAUAAGCCUUUUUGCCAAUCUCUUGCCAUUUUUGUUUCAUUUAUCAAGAUCAGCUAAAGCAAGAGAACUCCUGGGUAACAGUAAAAGCAGUAAUCCCACAAGGAAUGUUUGCUAGGGUAGCUCUUCUGGAAUAUUUAUAUUGGAAAUUUUAAGAAUGUGACUCUGCUGAAAUUAAAAAUUAUAUAGAUUGUGCAAAGAGCAAGCAAUGAAAACAGCUUACAACCAAGUUUUCUCUCAGCUAUCCCAACGUGCAGAUAAGAAAACUUUGCCUUGCUUCCAGUUCCUAUACAAAGAAUGAGAGCUUCCUCUGUUACUGAUACCCAUGUGAGUAAGAAGACAGGAAUAACAAACAACGCUAGUCCUGACUUCAUUCUUCUCAGCUUAUUAGCCUUACUGUGUGCAAACAAACCUCUCCAAGGGCAUUGCCAAUCUCACCCCAAGGUAUGUUCUGGAGAGCUAACACGUGUCACGCCCAUUCAAUCCUCUUUUCAUGCAUCUCCAGGCAAGGGCACAGACCGCCCAUAAAAGCAUGCAAAUCAUUCUCUAGGCAUUGUACAAACACGUAAAGGAAAGUAUUUCCUUGCCCUCAGGAAGUCACCGGCAAUGAAGACGAGACAGAGAAGACUGGGGAAGAAAUGGAGGUAGUUUACUGUUCUCUAGCUGAAAUAAAGGGAGGCUGGGGUAACCUCCAGGGUAAUGGAGAAGGCAUAAUGAGUGGGAUCAGCUGUGAUGGCUGUUGCCUGUCCCAGUGCACUUGAGAUCCAGCCGUUCCCAGGGUGACUCAGGUGUUGCAUCUGGCCAGGACCUGACACCGGUGGGUGGACUUCAUGUGAGCAAUGGGGAGCUGCCCUUGGCCAAGGUGUCCAGCUCAGAGCUAAGACAUAUGGGUGUCUUCUGGGGCCUGAUGCAGUGUUUUUGCUGCGGGCAAAAGGACUUGCAUGGAGGGACUGCCUGCAAGCAGCUGACGUUCUACUGCUGACCUUCACAGCUGAACCUAUUGGAGAAACAUCCCUUCCAUCCCUCUCGAAUUUUACAGAUAUUUUUAAAUCUUGCUUCACAGCUCAAGGAAAUAUCCUUUUCCUCUUUCUUCAUUUCUGGGGCAACGUUUCCUAGUUGUAUUUGCAAGCUGAAAACACAGCUGUUUCAUUGGCUUCCUCAUGCAAGCUGAGUGUGUUGAGCAAGACACCAGCAUUACUAAACUGGAGCGGUAUCUCUCCUUCUAGAGAGCCACAGCAGAGGAAACAGAAGGUUUUGCAAACCUCAUCAGCUAUUCCUGCUGGAAGUCACGAGACCAGUGCCCAUCAAACAAAAGAACUGAAUGCUUAAACAACAAAUUCAGGUGUUGAUUAAUAGGAACACACCUUCUAAUCUGUAUUGGCCAAGCAAGUUCAAAAAGGAGGUUUAUUGUUGCAAGUGUUUAUACCAUAAACAAGGGGCUAUUUGAUGUUCUGAAUGUUGCACAACAGACUGUUUUAUAUGAUCUGACAAGAAAUGGGUUUUUGCAUGAGCUAGGUGGGUGGUUCUCUGAGGUGUUGGAUUUCAUGGACGUGCUGAGCUCUCUCUGGGGAGAGCAUCCACCCUAAGAAGGAUGGAUCUGUCAUGCUGCCUUUUUGCUUCUCCCAGGCAACAGAGAACAGACAGGGUGAUAAAAGGGCACAACCGUCUAUGAGAAGAGUGAGAAAAAUGGAAUUAUUUGGGUGAAGGAGGAAUGGAGAUCUGUUUACUGCUCUUUCAAAGGAGGAGCCUGCCCUGCAUCUGAGUUUUGGAAAUACAUUUUGUCCAUGUUGCCAACACAGGCAGCAGCAUACCACAAGCCUGCUAGAUUCUAGCACCGCUCCUUGAGUCCGCUGUAAGAAAGCACAGAUGCCUUUAUGGUCUGUGACCAUCUAUAAAAAAAAAAAUGUUUAAAAAUAAAAUAAGUUUUGUUACUUA